rnacentral:lncRNA from 1 species
AUUCCAUCUCCCAAAAUGAAUGGAUGAUAUUAACUUGGUAAAAGUCCUCCUUUGACCAAUUUGUGUUUUGAUCCAUUUCCCUCCCAUUUCAUCAUAUUCCCUUUCUUCAUUCAUUCAUUCCAUUUGGCCUAUGAUAUCUCAAAAUCCUAAGGCUAGUUGAUUGAAAAAUUGACAUGAGUAUGGAUGAGAUUAGGCCACCCCUUU